rnacentral:misc_RNA from 1 species
ACGAUCCAAGAAGCGAUGAAGCCACCGGCUCCGGUGACGCAGACGGUUUGGCCAUGGCCAGAGAGUGAUGAGGUAUCAACAGGCAUGGUAGUUAUAGAGAAGUCGUGUUUGGUUGUUGAGAGGGAAGGAGCAGAAGACAAGUGUAUUGUUUAUAAUGGAAGGAGGGCGCAAGCAAAGCAAGUGCCUGUGUUUGUAAUUUAUAAGGAAAAGAGCUUGCCGCACUCCACCUACCCCGGCUUGGUGUACCUGUAGGGAGAGAUAAAAGAGUGGAGGGAGAUUAAUUUAUGUAUUUCUUCAAUUAAUAUUCUAUUAUUGCCAAAAUAUAA